rnacentral:tRNA from 6 species
ACUGCCUUGAUCCACUUGGCUACAUC